UGAAGAUGCAGACUCAGGCGGGAGCCAGUGCUGAGUGCCGGCCUCUGUGCAGUCGGUUAGCUGGCAUGUGGGAUGGACGGGAAAUUCCACAGACAGCAGGCUUCCCAUAAACCAGUGUCAGGUCAGAGGUCGUCAUCCCAUUUCCACGUUCAUGGAACACCGUGAGACUUCUCUUCUCUGAGGAAGCAGUUUGGCAGUGCAUUCAAUCAUCCUUAUCUUCUGAUGUGAGAACGAAAUUAACUGAAGGUGAACCAGCCCCAGAACCUCCUCUGAAGAGUGUCCAUAUCUCUUCGAUAAUGUGCCCCUUUCUCCUAAAACUGGAAUGUGG
rnacentral:lncRNA from 1 species